rnacentral:misc_RNA from 1 species
CUUAUAUUCAAACAUAAAAUGUAGAAUAAAUUCAUACUAUUUGUACACUUAAAAAGAACAUACAAAAGAAAAGAAAACAUCCCACAUAAGCUGUGACAUCUAUCAAAUAAAAUACAAAUGUUAAUUAGAGUGAACUAUAUAUUAUAUGCAUAUCAAUAACUCUUCAAUUAUAACUAAAAUUGCAAUUUUAUUUUGAUAAGAGAAUAAACUAAAUGCAAUUUUAUUUUGAUAAGAGAAUAAACUAAAUGCAAUUUUAUUUUGAUAAGAGAAUAA